UGGUUAAAACUAAUCAAGCUCGCUUUUGUACCCUGCUCCUCGGGUCACGAAAGUUAAAAAGCCAAUUGGGUGAGCUAUGCAUGUAGAAGUUAGGCUGAAAGAUUAGCGGACGCGGGUUCAAUUCCCGCCGCCUCCACCA
rnacentral:tmRNA from 1 species